UACGUAGGGUGCGAGCGUUAAUCGGAAUUACUGGGCGUAAAGCGUGCGCAGGCGGUGAUGUAAGACCGAUGUGAAAUCCCCGGGCUUAACCUGGGAACUGCAUUGGUGACUGCAUCACUCGAGUAUGGCAGAGGGGGGUAGAAUUCCACGUGUAGCAGUGAAAUGCGUAGAGAUGUGGAGGAAUACCGAUGGCGAAGGCAGCCCCCUGGGUCAAUACUGACGCUCAUGCACGAAAGCGUGGGGAGCAAACAGG
rnacentral:rRNA from 1 species